rnacentral:rRNA from 1 species
AUUGAACGCUGGCGGCAGGCCUAACACAUGCAAGUCGAGCGGAGCGGCGGACGGGUGAGUAAUGCCUAGGAAUCUGCCUGGUAGUGGGGGAUAACGUCCGGAAACGGGCGCUACUACCGCAUACCAUCGGAUGUGCCCAGAUGGGAUUAGCUUGUUGGUGGGGUAACGGCUCACCAAGGCGACGAUCCCUAGCUGGUCUGAGAGGAUGACCAGCCACACUGGAACUGAGACACGGUCCAGACUCCUACGGGAGGCAGCAGUGGGGAAUAUUGCACAAUGGGCGCAAGCCUGAUGCAGCCAUGCCGCGUGUGUGAAGAAGGUCUUCGGAUUGUAAAGCACUUUAAGUUGGGAGGCGUUACCAACAGAAUAAGCACCGGCUAACUUCGUGCCAGCCGCCGCGGUAAUUC